rnacentral:tRNA from 1 species
CGGGUCGUAGCGCAGAGGCAGUCGCACCGGCCUGCACAGCCGGGGAACGCUGGUUCGAAUCCAGCCGCCCGU